rnacentral:rRNA from 1 species
CAUGGUUGUCGUCAGCUCGUGUCGUGAGAUGUUGGGUUAAGUCCCGCAACGAGCGCAACCCUCGACCUUAGUUGCCAGCAUUCAGUUGGGCACUCUAAGGUGACUGCCGGCUAAAAGUCGGAGGAAGGUGGGAUGACGUCAAAUCAUCAUGCCCCUUAUGACCUGGGCUACACACGUGCUACAAUGGGCGGUACAAAGGGUCGCGAACCCGCGAGGGGGAGCCAAUCCCAAAAAGCCGCUCUCAGUUCGGAUUGCAGGCUGCAACUCGCCUGCAUGAAGCCGGAAUCGCUAGUAAUCGCGGAUCAGCAUGCCGCGGUGAAUACGUUCCCGGGCCUU